ACUGGGGCUUAAAGGGUGCGCAGGGCGGCUUGGUAAGUCAGGUGUGAAAUYYCUCAGCUCAACUGAGAAACUGCGCUUGAAACUGCCAAGCUUGAAUUUCCUAAGRGUAUGCUGGAACUUCCAGGUGGUAGCGGUGAAAUGCGUUGAUAUUGGAAGGAACACCGKUGGCGAAAGCGGCUUACUGGGCCAAUACUGACGCUSAUGCACGAAAGCUAGGGUAGCGAACGGGAUUAGAUACCCUGGUAGUCCUMGCYGUAAACGAUGAGUACUWGUUGKARGGGGGUUCGACCUUUUCUGACG
rnacentral:rRNA from 1 species